GAAGUGAAAAGGCGGGAGAGUCCUAAAGUCCUGAAGCCUGACAUCAGGGAUAAGGGGGUCACAGAGUUGCCAGAUUCUUGUGACCCAUGAACCUAUGGAAAUCUGCUUUGAACUCCGGGCUGGUAUUCAUUCAAGAGGACAUUCGAUAGUGAUGAAGAGGAUGGAUUCUUGGUGGCCUACUUGCCAGCGUCUUUGUUAGCAGAGGGAGAUGUGACAUGUGUGCUAAGGCUAUAUUCCAGAACAUCAGGAAGGAGGAGAGGUUUACAUACAAACUCCACCUGUG